rnacentral:rRNA from 1 species
UACGUAGGGACCAAGCGUUGUUCGGAUUUACUGGGCGUAAAGGGCGCGUAGGCGGCGCGGUAAGUCACUUGUGAAAUCUCUGAGCUUAACUCAGAACGGCCAAGUGAUACUGCAGUGCUAGAGUGUGGAAGGGGCAAUCGGAAUUCUUGGUGUAGCGGUGAAAUGCGUAGAUAUCAAGAGGAACACCUGAGGUGAAGACGGGUUGCUGGGCCAAAACUGACGCUGAGGCGCGAAAGCCAGGGGAGCAAACGGG